rfam:Ictidomys tridecemlineatus contig040656, whole genome shotgun sequence.
GGAGGUAUAGCUCAGUGGUAUAGUACUUACCUAGGAUGUAGGAGGACUUGGGUUCCAUCCCCAGUAUCGCAG